ACGAACGCUGGCGGCGUGCUUAACACAUGCAAGUCGAACGGAAAGGCCUAGCUUGCUGGGUACUCGAGUGGCGAACGGGUGAGUAACACGUGGGUGAUCUGCCCCUGACUUUGGGAUAAGCCUGGGAAACUGGGUCUAAUACCGGAUAUUCAUUUUUCCUCGCAUGGGGAUUUGUGGAAAGCUUUUGCGGUUGGGGAUGGGCCCGCGGCCUAUCAGCUUGUUGGUGGGGUAAUGGCCUACCAAGGCGACGACGGGUAGCCGACCUGAGAGGGUGAUCGGCCACACUGGGACUGAGACACGGCCCAGACUCCUACGGGAGGCAGCAGUGGGGAAUAUUGCACAAUGGGCGCAAGCCUGAUGCAGCGACGCCGCGUGAGGGAUGACGGCCUUCGGGUUGUAAACCUCUUUCAGCUCCGACGAAGCGCAAGUGACGGUAGGAGCAGAAGAAGCACCGGCCAACUACGUG
rnacentral:rRNA from 1 species